rnacentral:rRNA from 1 species
GUCAUAUGCUUGUCUCAAAGAUAAGCCAUGCAUGUCUCAGUACAAGCCAAAUUAAGGUGAAACCGCAAAAGGCUCAUUAAAUCAGUUAUGGUUCUUUAGAUCGUACCCACAAUUACUUGGAUAACUGUGGUAAUUCUAGAGCUAAUACAUGCAAACAGAGCUCCGACCGGAGACGGAAGGAGUGCUUUUAUUAGAUCAAAACCAAUCGGUGGCGGGUUCGCGCUCGUCAUCGUACAACUUGGUGACUCUGAAUAACUUUAGGCUGAUCGCACGGUCAUCGCACCGGCGACGCAUCUUUCAAAUGUCUGCCUUAUCAACUGUCGAUGGUAGGUUCUGCGCCUACCAUGGUUGUAACGGGUAACGGGGAAUCAGGGUUCGAUUCCGGAGAGGGAGCCUGAGAAACGGCUACCACAUCCAAGGAAGGCAGCAGGCGCGCAAAUUACCCACUCCCGGCACGGGGAGGUAGUGACGAAAAAUAACGAUACGGGACUCAUCCGAGGCCCCGUAAUCGGAAUGAGUACACUCUAAACCCUUUAACGAGGAUCAAUUGGAGGGCAAGUCUGGUGCCAGCAGCCGCGGUAAUUCCAGCUCCAAUAGCGUAUAUUAAAGUUGUUGCGGUUAAAAAGCUCGUAGUCGAAUUUGUGUCUCGCGCCGCCGGUUCAUCGUCCGCGGUGUUAACUGGCGAGUCGCGAGACGUCCUGCCGGUGGGCUUAGCUCGCGAGGGCGGCCCAACUCAAUCCUGCCGCGGUGCUCUUCAUUGAGUGUCGAGGUGGGCCGGCACGUUUACUUUGAACAAAUUAGAGUGCUUAAAGCAGGCUAAAACUUCGCCUGAAUACUGUGUGCAUGGAAUAAUAGAAUAGGACCUCGGUUCUAUUUUGCUGGUUUUCGGAACCCCGAGGUAAUGAUUAAUAGGAACGGAUGGGGGCAUUCGUAUUGCGACGUUAGAGGUGAAAUUCUUGGAUCGUCGC